CAAAUUGAUGUUUUAAUUUCUGUAUAUAACUCGAAACAUAUUUGYGCCGAAGAUGCACAAAAUGAAGAUGAAACUAGGAUGCGCCAAMGAAAAUGGUGGUGGCCACUUUAUUUCUAUUUUCUAGAUGUUUCGGUUGUAAAUUUAUGGAUUCUUAUGAAAAAUUACAAUCUAAAUAAUGAAAAAUGUAGAAAGAAUAGCUCCCGUGCCCUUAGGAGACGUAAGAUGCGAUGGAAAUAAUCAUUGGCCAGACUAUUCUGAUACAAAUAAGAGGUGUAGGCAGUGUGGAAAGAAAUCAAAUUAUGUUCCAAAUGUAAUAUUAGAUUACGUCCAAAAAAUAAAAAAUUGUUUAAAAAAUUAUCAUGUUUGUUAAAUCCUAACUGUUUUACAGGUACAGUGUCCCCUGACCCUUUAAAUUUCUUUUAAUAAACUUUUUUGCAAAACA